rnacentral:rRNA from 1 species
GAUGAACGCUGGCGGCGUGCCUAAUACAUGCAAGUCGAACGCACAGCGAAAGGUGCUUGCACCUUUCAAGUGAGUGGCGAACGGGUGAGUAACACGUGGACAACCUGCCUCAAGGCUGGGGAUAACAUUUGGAAACAGAUGCUAAUACCGAAUAAAACUCAGUGUCGCAUGACACAAAGUUAAAAGGCGCUUUGGCGUCACCUAGAGAUGGAUCCGUGGUGCAUUAGUUAGUUGGUGGGGUAAAGGCCUACCAAGACAAUGAUGCAUAGCCGAGUUGAGAGACUGAUCGGCCACAUUGGGACUGAGGCACGGCCCAAACUCCUACGGGAGGCUGCAGUAGGGAAUCUUCCACAAUGGGCGAAAGCCUGAUGGAGCAACGCCGCGUGUGUGAUGAAGGCUUUCGGGUCGUAAAGCACUGUUGUAUGGGAAGAACAGCUAGAAUAGGGAAUGAUUUUAGUUUGACGGUACCAUACCAGAAAGGGACGGCUAAAUACGUGCCAGUAGCCGCAGUAA